GCAUCGGAGCCUGGACUUGAAGGAUGGAAGAAGGCUGUGCCCACAGGAGCUGGAUUGGAGCUCGGAAGGUUCAGCAACACCGGGCGGGGCCUUGAAUGCA